UCCAGGACGAACGCUCCGUGGUUUCUGCGCACCAGGUCCGCUACCUAGUAAAACUCAAUUUCAGGAAGAAGUGCUCCGAAGUUUCUGAGCUCAAGGUCCACUACCUGGUAAAACUCAACUUCCAGGACAAGCGCUCCGUAGCUUCUGCGCUCCAAGUCCACUACCUAAUGAAACUCGACUUCAGGGACAUGUGGUGAAUAAGGAGGAAGAGGACGAGGAUUUCUGCUCAGUAUGACCCGAGGUGAUUGGAGGUGGUUGGAGGUGGUCGGAGGUGAACGAGGAGGAGGACGAGGAAGACAAGGAGAACGAGUUGGACGACAAGGACGAGGAUUUGUGCUCGGUACAACCCGAGGUCGUUAUCGGUGGUUGUUCGAGGUGGUUGGCGAUUGUUGGAGGUGGUCGGAGGUGGACGAGGAGGAGGACGAACUGAAUUGAGUCUCGAAGCCCUGUUCACAUAAAAGCAGCUAUUUGAUAGAAAUUAUAGUUUAUAGUUUACACAGCCCAUUGCAUGAUAUUUCAUUAUAAACACAUAUGUUUCAAUGUAUUUAGAAAUA